CAGCAGCCGCGGUAAUGCGAAGGGGGCUAGCGUUGUUCGGAUUUAUUGGGCGUAAAGCGCACGUAGGCGGACUUUUAAGUCAGGGGUGAAAUCCCGGGGCUCAACCCCGGAACUGCCUUUGAUACUGGGAGUCUUGAGUUCGAGAGAGGUGAGUGGAAUUGCGAGUGUAGAGGUGAAAUUCGUAGAUAUUCGCAGGAACACCAGUGGCGAAGGCAGCUCACUGGCUCGAUACUGACGCUGAGGUGCGAAAGCGUGGGGAGCAAACAGGAUUAGAUACCCCGGUAGUCCCUGUCUCUUAUAC
rnacentral:rRNA from 1 species